GACGAACGCUGGCGGCGUGCUUAACACAUGCAAGUCGAACGGCAAGGCCCUGCUUUUGUGGUCUUCUCGAUUGCGGAACGGGUGAGUAACAGGUGAGUAUCCUGCUCUUGACUUUCGGAUAACUUCAGGAAGCUGGGGCUAAUCUCGUACAGGAUCUCCCGCUGCAUGGUGGGCGUGGGAAAUUUUCGGCGGUUGGGGAUGGACGCGCGGCUGUCCGGCUUGUUGGUGGGGUAGGUGCUUACCCAGGCAUUGAAGGGUAGCCGGCCUGGGAGGGUGACCGGCCACAUUGGGACUGAGAUACGGCCCAGACUCCUACGGGAGGCAGCAGUGGGGAAUAUUGCACAGUGGGAGGGAGCCUGAUGCAGCAACGCCGCGUGCGGGAUGACGGCCUGCGGGUUGUAAACCGCUUUCGCCUGUGACGAAGCGUGAGUGACGGUAACGGGUAAAGAAGCACCGGCUAACUACGUG
rnacentral:rRNA from 1 species